rnacentral:rRNA from 1 species
ACGCUCGACACCUACGGGAGGCAGCAGUGGGGAAUAUUGCACAAUGGGGGAAACCCUGAUGCAGCGACGCCGCGUGAGCGAAGAAGUAUUUCGGUAUGUAAAGCUCUAUCAGCAGGGAAGAUAAUGACGGUACCUGACUAAGAAGCUCCGGGUAAAUACGUGCCCGCAGCCGCGGUAAUCUGAGCGGGCUGGCAAGGC